rnacentral:rRNA from 1 species
AUUGAACGCUGGCGGCAUGCCUUACACAUGCAAGUCGAACGGUAACAGGUUAAGCUGACGAGUGGCGAACGGGUGAGUAAUAUAUCGGAACGUGCCCAGUCGUGGGGGAUAACUGCUCGAAAGAGCAGCUAAUACCGCAUACGACCUGAGGGUGAAAGCGGGGGAUCGCAAGACCUCGCGCGAUUGGAGCGGCCGAUAUCAGAUUAGGUAGUUGGUGGGGUAAAGGCCUACCAAGCCUACGAUCUGUAGCUGGUCUGAGAGGACGACCAGCGACACUGGGACGGAGACACGGCACAGACUCCUACGGGAGGCAGCAGUGGGGAAUUUUGGACAAUGGACGCAAGUCUGAUCCAGCCAUGCCGCGUGCGGGAAGAAGGCCUUCGGGUUGUAAACCGCUUUUGUCAGGGAAGAAAAGGUUCUGGUUAAUACCUGGGACUCAUGACGGUACCUGAAGAAUAAGCACCGGCUAACUACGUGCCAGCAGCCGCCGUAAGAC